GGUUGAUCCUGCCAGUAGUCAUAUGCUUGUCUCAAAGAUUAAGCCAUGCAUGUCUAAGUAUAAACAACUUUAUACCGUGAAACUGCGUACAGCUCAUUAUAUCAGUUAUUAUUCCUUUGAUGGUACCUUACUACAUGGAUACCCGUAGUAAUUCUAGAGCUAAUACAUGCGUCAAGUCCCGACUCUUUGGAAGGGAUGUAUUUAUUAGAUUAAAAACCAAUGCAGGCAACUGCUCCUUUGGUGAUUCAUAGUAACUAAUCGGAUCGCACGGCUUCACGUCGGCGACAGUUCAU
rnacentral:rRNA from 1 species